ensembl:lncRNA
UGAAGGGCCUUCCCCGGCUUCCCCUUCCAGCCGUACCUCGGGCCGCUGUGUCCCAACGCCUGCGCCCUGCUGUCUGCAGGCUGUCUGUCACCGCUCGGUAUUACUGCGGGCGCUUCUGAAAGGCAGGCAGGCAGGCAGGCGGCGCGGAGGGGCGGGUCGGUCAAUCGCCUUAAACGCAGCCUCCUAAUUAACGAUGUUCGACUGCCCUCGUUUCACAGAUCCACGAGCUGCUGUGUUUGUGAGGCGGUGUUUAAGCUGGCCCUGUUGCUGUCACCAGAAAGAAGAGAUCCAUCACCUGCUUCUCUUCUUCCUCUGCUAAAAGGUAUCUCUCUUGAUGUUGUCAAGCAUUCCAUUGAAACUGCAGAAUGGAAUGAUUCUGUUACUUUAAUUUUUCAAGGUUCACGUACAAUAUUAAUUACUAAAAAGACUACAUCCCUUACUACACAAACCAGUAAUGUGUUUUUUGAAAUGCAAAUCUCUGUGACUCUCCACCCAGUUUAAACUAAAAAGAGUGUGAAAAGAUGGCUGGUAUCCACCUAAGACAUAAAAGUACUGAUGAAGUCUCCUGUAGACACUUUAAUUCAAAGUAGUCUUUAUGACUACAAAUCCUCCAUUAUAGACUUGGCUGUUCAUUCUUUUAAUUUGGCACAGCUUCCA